UGACCUUUGGCGGCUCAUAAUAACCUUGACACUAGGUUUGUUGAGGUCGGUUUUCCACUUCACAACCCAGACGAUAGAAGAUUAAUAACUGACGGAUAUAAGCCGCUAAGCACUCAGGGUGGCACAUCAGAAAAAUAAGGAUGAAGUGGCAAUUUUAUUGUUAUGAGCACAUAUGGGUUUUAAAAGGAUCAACUGAAACAAUUUGUUUGUUAAUUGGCUGUAUGCUAGCGUUUGCUGCAUAUUGGGCAACAAUGUGGUGGGCACUAAAGGUGCCUCCGCCACCCACGAGAACUUACCCUCCUAACGAUAAUACAACCGAAGAUAGCCCAGACGUUAUGUUGUAUUAUUGACACAGUGAAUGUGCUUCGAACACUUAUAAACUUGUUAUAACGUUUAAGUGAAGUCUUAAGAUGCAUCGGGCUUACACUCUAACUAAAUCAGUAACAAUUGACUGAUAUAAAUCAGCAUGCACUCAGUGGUGGCGAAAAGGAUGGACGGGCAGUUUUAUUUGUUAUAAGCCUUUACGGGUUUGAGAUGAAUCAAUUGGAACAAUCUGGGUACUUUUGACUACAGCCCUGAUGGCAACCCUGUUGUUAGGUACAAGAUACUUAUUGGAGUUAGACCAAGUGAAUAAUGAGCUGCCUAUAGUCAACAUGACGGAGAAUUUACUCAACAUGCGAAUAUAAAAGCCAUUAUUAUUAUUAAAAACUGGUAAAAAAAUUCAAAAUAACAAAAGGAACGAAGCUCCGGGAAAAUUUAUGAUUAGUUACUUACAGUUUUUUUAUUGUAAAAGGUUCACAUUUGACCUCAAUCUCAGUUACUUAGUGAAUGCCUACCGAAGAUUCCGAGCUAUCAAUGAAAAAAGAAAAACACAGACUGCGACUGGCGCUUCCGCUCUUUGCUGUUGUAAAACAUACCUACUUACUUAUCUAUUUCGACAGUUUUUUUUGAAGCGAUCGAUAAUUUUAUCACGUUACGCAUGUUAGCCCUGCUGCUGUCAGAAUUGUACAUUGUCUUGGUACCUAUUUGUCUCUUUAGCAUUAGGUUGUACUCUAUAUUUCUGUCUUGCUGUAAUACGCACCACGCUAGAGAGAAAAUAGUAUUAAAGAUAGUGUUUUUAAGGUAUCAGC